rnacentral:rRNA from 1 species
CCUACGGGUGGCAGCAGUGGGGAAUAUUGCACAAUGGGGGAAACCCUGAUGCAGCGACGCCGCGUGAGUGAAGAAGUAUUUCGGUAUGUAAAGCUCUAUCAGCCGUGACGAAAAUGACGGUACCUGAUUAAGAAGCACCGGCUAACUACGUGCCAGCAGCCGCGGUAAUACGUAGGGUGCAAGCGUUGUCCGGAUUUACUGGGUGUAAAGGGAGCGUAGACGGCAGUGUAAGUCUGGAGUGAAAUGCCGGGGCUUAACCCCGGAACUGCCUUGGUAACUGUGCAGCUAGAGUGCAGGAGAGGUAAGUGGAAUACCUAGUGUAGAGGUGAAAUGCGUAGAUAUUAGGAAGAACACCAGUGGCGAAGGCGGCUAACUGGACUGUAACUGACGUUGAGGCUCGAAAGCGUGGGGAGCAAACAGGAUUAGAUACCCUGGUAGUC